UACGUAGGGGGCUAGCGUUGUUCGGAAUUACUGGGCGUAAAGCGCACGUAGGCGGCUUUGUAAGUUAGAGGUGAAAGCCCAGGGCUCAACCCUGGAAUUGCCUUUAAGACUGCAUCGCUAGAAUUGUGGAGAGGUAAGUGGAAUUCCGAGUGUAGAGGUGAAAUUCGUAGAUAUUCGGAAGAACACCAGUGGCGAAGGCGACUUACUGGACACAUAUUGACGCUGAGGUGCGAAAGCGUGGGGAGCAAACAGG
rnacentral:rRNA from 1 species